UACGAAUGGAGCGAGCGUUGUUCGGAAUCACUGGGCGUAAAGGGUGCGCAGGCGGUCUUGAAAGUUAGAAGUGAAAGCCCCGGGCUUAACCUGGGAAUGGCAGUGGAAACUGGCGGGCUUGAGUGUGGCAGAGGGGGGUGGAAUUCCGCGUGUAGCAGUGAAAUGCGUAGAGAUGCGGAGGAACACCGAUGGCGAAGGCAGCCCCCUGGGCUGACACUGACGCUGAGGCACGAAAGCGUGGGGAGCAAACAGG
rnacentral:rRNA from 1 species